AUUGAACGCUGGCGGCAUGGCUAAAACAUGCAAGUCGAACGAUCCCUUCGGGGAGAGUGGCGAAAGGGCGAGGAAUAGAAUCGAAUGUACCCCAAGGUGGGGGAUAGCCUCUGGAAACGGAGGGUAAUACCCCAUGUGCUCUACGGAGGAAAGGUUUACCGCCUUGGGAGCAGCGAUUCUCCUAUCAGGUAGUUGGUGAGGGUAACGGCUCACCAAGCCGAAGACGGGUAGCGGGUGUGGAGAGCAUGACCCGCGCAUCGGGACUGAGACACUGCCCGGACUCCUACGGGAGGCUGCAGUAACGAAUCUUCGCAAUGGGCGAAAGCCUGACGGAGCAAUGCCGCGUGU
rnacentral:rRNA from 1 species